AGUGUUCUACAGCAGUUACACACAGGCAGUGGUAUCUGUGAGCAGCUCUGUGGACUCAAAGGUUUUCUCCCUGAGAGGCAUGACCCAGGCCAGCUGAUUCAUCAGAAUCAGGAUGGACGUGGUAGAGGUCGCGGGUAGUUGGUGGGCACAAGAGCGAGAGGACAUCAUUAUGAAAUACGAAAAGGGACACCGAGCUGGGCUGCCAGAGGACAAGGGGCCUAAGCCUUUUGGAAGCUACAACAACAACAUCGAUCACUUUGGGAUGCAGCAUGAGACGGAGCUGCCUCCUCUGACUGCGCGGGAGGUGAAGCAAAUUCGGCGGGAGAUCAGCCGAAAGAGCAAGUGGGUGAAAAUGCUGGGAGAAUGGGACACCUACAAAAACAGCAGAAAGCUCAUAGAUCGAGCGUACCAGGGAAUUCCCAUGAACAUCCGGGGCCCGAUGUGGUCAGUCCUCCUGAACAUUGAGGAAAUCAAGUUGAAAAACCCCGGAAGAUACCAGAUCAUGAAGGAGAAGGGCAAGAGGUCAUCUGAACACAUCCAGCAGAUGGACCUGGACGUAAGCGGGACAUUAAGGAGGCAUAUAUUCUUCAGGGAUCGAUACGGAACCAAGCAGCGGGAACUACUUUACAUCCUCCUGGCGUAUGAGGAGUAUAACCCGGAGGUGGGCUACUGCAGGGACCUGAGCCACAUCGCCGCCUUGUUCCUCCUUUAUCUUCCUGAGGAGGAUGCAUUCUGGGCACUGGUGCAGCUGCUGGCCAGUGAGAGGCACUCCCUGCAGGGAUUUCACAGCCCAAAUGGCGGGACCGUCCAGGGGCUCCAAGACCAACAGGAGCAUGUGGUAGCCACGUCACUACCCAAGACCAUGUGGCAUUAGGACAAGAAAGAUCUAUGUGGGCAGUGUUCGUCCUUAGGCUGCCUCAUCCGGAUAUUGAUUGAUGGGAUCUCUCUCGGGCUCACCCUGCGCCUCUGGGACGUGUAUCUGGUAGAAGGCGAACAGGCGUUCAUGCCGAUAACAAAAUCGCCUUUAAGGUUCAGCAGAAGCGCCUCACGAAGACGUCCAGGUGUGGCCCGUGGGCACGUUUUUGGAACCGGUUCGUUGAUGCCUGGGCCAGGGAUGAUGACACUGUGCUCAAGCAUCUUAGGGCCUCUAUGAAGAAACUAACAAGAAAGCAGGGGGACCUGCCACCCCCAGCCAAACCCGAGCAAGGGUCGUCGGCAUCCAGGCCUGUGCCGGCUUCACGGGGCGGGAAGACCCUCUGCAAGGGGGACAGGCAGGCCCCUCCAGGCCCACCAGCCCGGUUCCCAUGGCCCAUUUGGUCAGCUUCCCCGCCACGGGCACCUCGUUCUUCCACACCCUGUCCUGGUGGGGCUGUCCGGGAAGACACCUACCCUGUGGGCACUCAGGGUGUGCCCAGCCCGGCCCUGGCUCAGGGAGGACCUCAGGGUUCCUGGAGAUUCCUGCAGUGGAACUCCAUGCCCCGCCUCCCAACGGACCUGGACGUAGGGGACCCUUGGUUCCGCCGUUAUGAUUUCAGACAGAGCUGCUGGGUCCGUGCCAUAUCCCAGGAGGACCAGCCGGCCACCUGCUGGCAGGCUGAACACCCUGCGGAGCGGGUGAGAUCGGCUUUCACUGCACUGAGCCACAACGUGGGCAUGGACUUCCCGGCCCUGCAGUGCACCCAGCACUGAUUCCGACCAGGGCACCCCCUUCAGAGCUAGGGACGAACAGCAGUGUGCUCCCACCUCAGGACCUUGCCUCUGCGGCCUCCACUUGGAAAGUUCUCAGUUCCCUCCAGGCUUCUAGAAGCAUCUGGGCCAGGGCUCAUGGCUGGAUAAUUUCCCUAGGCUUAACAACCCAAGCAAGCUUCGCCUCCUCGUUUUAUUUUUUGUUAAACUUAUGAGAAUGUAUUAAGAAAGAGUGCAGCUCGAGAGACAUUCAGAGAUGGAGCACACCAGACCCCAGAUCACAAAGCCAACCAUGCCCAGCCCCUCCCAACACCCCCAGCCCCACGACCAUCGUUCUGAAUUCUGACGACACCGUGAGCCUGCCUUUGUACUUUAAACUCAUGGAAGGAUAACCACCUUCACGUUUUGAAAUAAAUGUUUCCUGUUGAAAUGA